UCAGGAACAAGGAAAUAGAAGUCACCGUCGUCCUUGGUACCACGAAGCGCCGGAUUGUGCAGACCCUUCCCCGAAUGCUUGGAUCGGACCUCAUUACAUACUUUUCUGGCCACGUCAGCAUGUGGCUGGGCGUUUCCCUGCUUCAGCUUGCUGACAUUCUCAGCAAAGUCUACAAGAAGUUCUGUUCGCUGAGAGAAUCUGCGGCCUCGAUGCCGUUUUAAAGGACAACACGGGAGAACUGUUGAGUGGGAACGAAGUUUGGGAGUGAAUGACAUCGUUUGUUCGCAUAUCUGGUUUCAAAAAAGUUGAAGAUUCACUUUAACUUUAUUAGUUCACAUAACACCUACUUGACAAAGCAAAGUAAAUGCCUGCAAGAAGCAGAAAUCUCGUUAAUAUAAUGCGUUAACAUAUCCCACCCUCUGUAACUACUGCUGCUUUCAAUAACAUGAUGAGGUCCACACAUAUGCCUGACCUA